AGUGAACGCUGGCGGUAGGCCUAACACAUGCAAGUCGAACGGCAGCACAGUAAGAGCUUGCUCUUACGGGUGGCGAGUGGCGGACGGGUGAGGAAUACAUCGGAAUCUACUUUUUCGUGGGGGAUAACGUAGGGAAACUUACGCUAAUACCGCAUACGACCUACGGGUGAAAGCAGGGGAUCUUCGGACCUUGCGCGAUUGAAUGAGCCGAUGUCGGAUUAGCUAGUUGGUGGGGUAAAGGCCCACCAAGGCGACGAUCCGUAGCUGGUCUGAGAGGAUGAUCAGCCACACUGGAACUGAGACACGGUCCAGACUCCUACGGGAGGCAGCAGUGGGGAAUAUUGGACAAUGGGCGCAAGCCUGAUCCAGCCAUACCGCGUGGGUGAGGAAGGCCUUCGGGUUGUAAAGCCCUUUUGUUGGGAAAGAAAAGCAGCAGGUUAAUACCCCGCUGUUCUGACGGUACCCAAAGAAUAAGCACCGGCUAACUUCGUG
rnacentral:rRNA from 1 species